CAGCAGACAAAAUGUGGAUCUUGUGGCUGAAGGGGAGACUAUCAGGAGAGAAAAAAAUAAGAUAAUCUAGUUGUUCAGCACGCACGCUUGGCUCCUUCAAAAGAAACGUGACAAUAUUGCUGAAAUAUGGAAGAUUUAACUAAAAGAAUGCACAUAUUAGAACAAAGUUCUUCAUAAACCAGCGCAGUGGAAAAAUCUGUUCUUUUUGAUGCCAUCAAAACAUUCCACGGCUUUUUCUCAAGUUCUGUGAACCAUGCAGCUCAUUCCCAUCAGACAGGACGACAGACAGAAGGUAAGUCAAGUGUUUGGGUCAGUGGUGUGCUGAACUUUCUGCCAGCAUGGGCGCCAGUUCUGUUUUCCUCGACCCUUCAAUCAGAUACUCUUCACAUCUGUGCUGAUUUCCAGAGCGGCAGAAUUCCAGCUAGAAUCCUAGGACUUUUAACUUGUUUUAUGAGUGACCUUCUCCAUACGGGGAGAUUUACAGUUCUAUGGCUGAGUAACGCAAGAUAUAUAAUAAUAACAACAGCUCAGACUUAAUUUAGGAAAUUCAGUAAUUGUCAAGUGUGGUAAAUCAUCUUUAAAGCAAACACUCUUAAAGUCUGAGAGAUAAAGUUCAUUCCCCUGUGAUGAGGUGGUAGCAUGGAAUGCCCUGAGGUUCUGGGCAGAGUUUCAAAGCAGUUAAGUCACAUUAGGUGAGAUCCAGCUGCCCAUGGCUGCUGGGAUUUCUGAGAAUGUUGGCACUGGGGUGACACACUGGAUAAUCUUUAACAGGGGAAGUCUGUCUGGUGCCUGCUCUUUGUUCCAACUUCACUUUCAUAUUUGAGAAUCCUUAUGACAGACUUUCUAUUCACAGCAGUGUUUUAGCCUGUCACAAGUGUGGCCCCAGAGA